GGUCCAGACUCCUACGGGAGGCAGCAGUGAGGAAUAUUGGUCAAUGGGCGAGAGCCUGAACCAGCCAAGUCGCGUGAGGGAAGACGGUCCUAUGGAUUGUAAACCUCUUUUGCCGGGGAGCAAAAAGCGGUACGUGUACCGCAUCGAGAGUACCCGGAGAAAAAGCAUCGGCUAACUCCGUGCCAGCAGCCGCGGUAAUACGGAGGAUGCGAGCGUUAUCCGGAUUUAUUGGGUUUAAAGGGUGCGUAGGCGGAAUGCCAAGUCAGCGGUAAAAUCGCGGGGCUCAACCUCGCUCCGCCGUUGAAACUGGCGUUCUUGAGUGGGCGAGAAGUAUGCGGAAUGCGUGGUGUAGCGGUGAAAUGCAUAGAUAUCGCGCAGAACUCCGAUUGCGAAGGCAGCGUACCGGCGCCAGACUGACGCUGAGGCACGAAAGCGUGGGGAUCGAACAGGAUUAGAUACCCCUGUA
rnacentral:rRNA from 1 species